GACGAACGCUGGCGGCGUGCUUAACACAUGCAAGUCGAACGAUGAAAGAGAAUCCGAUCUCUUCGGAGUGAAGAAUCUCUGGAUUAGUGGCGGACGGGUGAGUAACGCGUGAGCAAUCUGCCUUACACAAAGGGAUAGCCUCGGGAAACCGGGAUUAAUACCAUAUGAUAUCUACAAGCCGCAUGGCCUAUAGAUUAAAGAAUUUCGGUGUAAGAUGAGCUCGCGUCCCAUUAAUUAGUUGGUGAGGGUAACGGCCCACCAAGAUAGCGAUGGGUAGCCGAUCUAAGAGGAUGACCGGCCACAUUGGAACUGAGAAACGGUCCAAACUCCUACGGGAGGCAGCAGUGGGGAAUAUUGCACAAUGGGGGAAACCCUGAUGCAGCGACGCCGCGUGAGCGAUGAAGGCUUUCGAGUCGUAAAGCUCUGUCCUAUGGGAAGAUAAUGACGGUACCAUAGAAGAAAGCCCCGGCUAAUUACGUGCCAGCAGCCGCGGUAAUACGUAAGGGGCGAGCGUUGUCCGGAAUUAUUGGGCGUAAAGCGCUCGUAGGCGGUCUGUUAGGUCGGGAGUUAAAUCCGGAGGCUCAACCUCCGCCCGCUCCCGAUACCGGCAGACUUGAGUUUGGUAGGGGAAGGUGGAAUUCCUAGUGUAGCGGUGGAAUGCGCAGAUAUUAGGAAGAACACCAGUGGCGAAGGCGGCCUUCUGGGCCAUAACUGACGCUGAGGAGCGAAAGCUAGGGGAGCAAACAGG
rnacentral:rRNA from 2 species